rnacentral:rRNA from 1 species
GGGUUGUGAGGUUAAGCGACUAAGCGUACACGGUGGAUGCCCUGGCAGUCAGAGGCGAUGAAGGACGUGCUAAUCUGCGAUAAGCGUCGGUGAGGUGAUAUGAACCGUUAUAACCGGCGAUUUCCGAAUGGGGAAACCCAGUGUGUUUCGACACACUAUCAUUAACUGAAUCCAUAGGUUAAUGAGGCGAACCGGGGGAACUGAAACAUCUAAGUACCCCGAGGAAAAGACAUCAACCGAGAUUCCCCCAGUAGCGGCGAGCGAACGGGGAGGAGCCCAGAGCCUGAAUCAGUGUGUGUGUUAGUGGAAGCGUCUGGAAAGGCGCGCGAUACAGGGUGAGAGCCCCGUACACAAAAAUGCACAUAUUGUGAGCUCGAUGAGUAGGGCGGGACACGUGGUAUCCUGUCUGAAUAUGGGGGGACCAUCCUCCAAGGCUAAAUACUCCUGACUGACCGAUAGUGAACCAGUACCGUGAGGGAAAGGCGAAAAGAACCCCGGCGAGGGGAGUGAAAAAGAACCUGAAACCGUGUACGUACAAGCAGUGGGAGCCUCUUUAUGGGGUGACUGCGUACCUUUUGUAUAAUGGGUCAGCGACUUAUAUUCUGUAGCAAGGUUAACCGAAUAGGGGAGCCGAAGGGAAACCGAGUCUUAACUGGGCGUUAAGUUGCAGGGUAUAGACCCGAAACCCGGUGAUCUAGCCAUGGGCAGGUUGAAGGUUGGGUAACACUAACUGGAGGACCGAACCGACUAAUGUUGAAAAAUUAGCGGAUGACUUGUGGCUGGGGGUGAAAGGCCAAUCAAACCGGGAGAUAGCUGGUUCUCCCCGAAAGCUAUUUAGGUAGCGCCUCGUGAAUUCAUCUCCGGGGGUAGAGCACUGUUUCGGCAAGGGGGUCAUCCCGACUUACCAACCCGAUGCAAACUGCGAAUACCGGAGAAUGUUAUCACGGGAGACACACGGCGGGUGCUAACGUCCGUCGUGAAGAGGGAAACAACCCAGACCGCCAGCUAAGGUCCCAAAGUCAUGGUUAAGUGGGAAACGAUGUGGGAAGGCCCAGACAGCCAGGAUGUUGGCUUAGAAGCAGCCAUCAUUUAAAGAAAGCGUAAUAGCUCACUGGUCGAGUCGGCCUGCGCGGAAGAUGUAACGGGGCUAAACCAUGCACCGAAGCUGCGGCAGCGACACUAUGUGUUGUUGGGUAGGGGAGCGUUCUGUAAGCCUGUGAAGGUGGCCUGUGAGGGUUGCUGGAGGUAUCAGAAGUGCGAAUGCUGACAUAAGUAACGAUAAAGCGGGUGAAAAGCCCGCUCGCCGGAAGACCAAGGGUUCCUGUCCAACGUUAAUCGGGGCAGGGUGAGUCGACCCCUAAGGCGAGGCCGAAAGGCGUAGUCGAUGGGAAACAGGUUAAUAUUCCUGUACUUGGUGUUACUGCGAAGGGGGGACGGAGAAGGCUAUGUUGGCCGGGCGACGGUUGUCCCGGUUUAAGCGUGUAGGCUGGUUUUCCAGGCAAAUCCGGAAAACCAAGGCUGAGGCGUGAUGACGAGGCACUACGGUGCUGAAGCGACAAAUGCCCUGCUUCCAGGAAAAGCCUCUAAGCAUCAGGUAACAUCAAAUCGUACCCCAAACCGACACAGGUGGUCAGGUAGAGAAUACCAAGGCGCUUGAGAGAACUCGGGUGAAGGAACUAGGCAAAAUGGUGCCGUAACUUCGGGAGAAGGCACGCUGAUAUGUAGGUGAAGCGACUUGCUCGUGGAGCUGAAAUCAGUCGAAGAUACCAGCUGGCUGCAACUGUUUAUUAAAAACACAGCACUGUGCAAACACGAAAGUGGACGUAUACGGUGUGACGCCUGCCCGGUGCCGGAAGGUUAAUUGAUGGGGUUAGCGGUAACGCGAAGCUCUUGAUCGAAGCCCCGGUAAACGGCGGCCGUAACUAUAACGGUCCUAAGGUAGCGAAAUUCCUUGUCGGGUAAGUUCCGACCUGCACGAAUGGCGUAAUGAUGGCCAGGCUGUCUCCACCCGAGACUCAGUGAAAUUGAACUCGCUGUGAAGAUGCAGUGUACCCGCGGCAAGACGGAAAGACCCCGUGAACCUUUACUAUAGCUUGACACUGAACAUUGAGCCUUGAUGUGUAGGAUAGGUGGGAGGCUUUGAAGUGUGGACGCCAGUCUGCAUGGAGCCGACCUUGAAAUACCACCCUUUAAUGUUUGAUGUUCUAACGUUGGCCCGUAAUCCGGGUUGCGGACAGUGUCUGGUGGGUAGUUUGACUGGGGCGGUCUCCUCCUAAAGAGUAACGGAGGAGCACGAAGGUUGGCUAAUCCUGGUCGGACAUCAGGAGGUUAGUGCAAUGGCAUAAGCCAGCUUGACUGCGAGCGUGACGGCGCGAGCAGGUGCGAAAGCAGGUCAUAGUGAUCCGGUGGUUCUGAAUGGAAGGGCCAUCGCUCAACGGAUAAAAGGUACUCCGGGGAUAACAGGCUGAUACCGCCCAAGAGUUCAUAUCGACGGCGGUGUUUGGCACCUCGAUGUCGGCUCAUCACAUCCUGGGGCUGAAGUAGGUCCCAAGGGUAUGGCUGUUCGCCAUUUAAAGUGGUACGCGAGCUGGGUUUAGAACGUCGUGAGACAGUUCGGUCCCUAUCUGCCGUGGGCGCUGGAGAACUGAGGGGGGCUGCUCCUAGUACGAGAGGACCGGAGUGGACGCAUCACUGGUGUUCGGGUUGUCAUGCCAAUGGCACUGCCCGGUAGCUAAAUGCGGAAGAGAUAAGUGCUGAAAGCAUCUAAGCACGAAACUUGCCCCGAGAUGAGUUCUCCCUGAGACUUAGAGUCUCCUGAAGGAACGUUGAAGACGACGACGUUGAUAGGCCGGGUGUGUAAGCGCAGCGAUGCGUUGAGCUAACCGGUACUAAUGAACCGUGAGGCUUAACCUUACAACGCCGAAG